UGGGGAAUAUUGCACAAUGGAGGGAACUCUGAUGCAGCGACGCCGCGUGAACGAAGAAGGCUUUCGAGUCGUAAAGUUCUUUUAUAUGGGAAGAUAAUGACGGUACCAUAAGAAAAAGCCCCGGCUAACUACGUGCCAGCAGCCGCGGUAAUACGUAGGGGGCUAGCGUUGUCCGGAAUCACUGGGCGUAAAGCGCACGUAGGCUGCUUUGUAAGUCAGGGGUGAAAUCCCACGGCUCAACCGUGGAACUGCCUUUGAUACUGCUUAGCUUGAAUCCGGGAGAGGGUGGCGGAAUUCCAGGUGUAGGAGUGAAAUCCGUAGAUAUCUGGAGGAACAUCAGUGGCGAAGGCGGCCACCUGGACCGGUAUUGACGCUGAGGUGCGAAAGCGUGGGGAGCAAACAGG
rnacentral:rRNA from 1 species